ensembl:lncRNA
GUGGCAGCAGGAAUCGGCACCAAGCCUUCCCCCCCCCAAAUACAAACCAACCAACCAACCAACCGCAAAACCCAAGCAAACCAACCUGAAGACCUUCAGAAGAGAUGAGGAGGAAGGGAUUUUCAAAUGGCAAGAGAUUGGAAGGGAGAAGGUUGGAGAGCACCUACUCAAGUUUCAAGAGGAUAUUAAAACUUCAUGGAUUAGAACACCUGGACAGGUCAGAGUUUCCUUGUGACUAGUGGAAGGAAGAAAGAGGUUUAACUGUUAAGUGACUGUAACAGUUACGAUGUCCAUCUGUAAAGACAACUUGGUUCCUCUGUAUUAAAGACACCUGGACUGGAUUUAUGGUGCUUGAAAUGGAUGCAUGUUUGGCCCUAAAACUCAUCCCCUGCCAUACGUCUGGGAAGGACUGCAACUUUUCUGUAUCUCUAAAACACGUGGCACAACUUCCCAAGACGUCCCUUGAGGAGCACAGGCAGCACUCCUGGGCAGUACGUGCAGCGGGAGGCACACCUUGAAGCCAUCCUCCUGAAGCUAGCAUUGAUGCUAAAUGCCUCUGUGCCAAUCACACUACUGCAGCAAACACUAAAUGAAUUUGAUGGUGAACACUUACAUUCUUACCUUUCUCGAUAACUCUAUGUUAAUAUUACAUUAAUUAUUCCUGAAUUACAAUGCUGUUGAAUGUUGAUAAAGCUGAAUUCCUUCUUGAAAUGCUGAUCCUGACAGUCCUGUGGCAGGCACUAAAAUGUGCUUUCCAAGUCUUAGGGGAAAAGGGGAAUAUAUUACUACUUCUGAUGAGAGGACUUCAGAAGAAACAUAUUCUAGUCACAUCUUGUGGAGCACUCGCCUGAAUCCCCGUUGCUUUCAGUAGCAGAUGCCUUUGCAUAAGACAUAAAAGGAAUAUACUCAUCACUUUUUUAGUUAAAAUUUUAUAGUGAUUGCUGAUGUAGAAUCAGCCCAGCGUGUGUGAACUGUUCCCCACAACAACGAAGCUGUGUGCAUACGGAGCUGAUCCUUGCCUCAUGAGAGCUGAUACACGGGAGCAAAGCUGGCAGGACGAACACGGAGAGAUCACUUCUUACUUGCAUCACCUUCUCUGCAGUUUUGGAUCUGAGCUCUCUGACAACGCUGUCAGGACUCAUUUCUGCACACCUACUGCUCACCUGAGACAUCCCUUGUGUAAUACUGCAAUUUUCAUGCUGAACCACAUGACAGAGUGAGACUGCCAGAUGUGGGAAAUUACGUGCUGUGCUAGUGUGACUUCCAGCUAUGAGAAGAAAACGAGAUGGAAGGGAGCAGACAGACCCCAAAGGACUGCUUUCCAAGCAUAGGAUGGGGCAGCUGCUGAAUCACGCACAGAAAUGUUCCCAGGAGAGAGAGAAGAGAAUUACUUCCUCGGGCAGUAGUAGCAGCAAAGGGCAGUGUAUGGGAACUGUUGAGUCACAGCCUGAACCUCUGAUUGAUCACCUGAGGAAAGAACUGAGUCAGCCGUGGGAGCACAGGUGAAGGCAAUUCACCUGUGUGACCUGAAGGGGUGGAGCCUGGCUGCACCUCUCCUGGACCCCAUAGAAGGGCCGACUGCCACUGGGGAAGGAUCUCUUUCUGGAGAUUGCUCCUUUUGGAGUUUUCUAUUGUGAGCCUUGAUCCUUGGAUAUGGGGAGAGUGAAAGCUGGGUUACAAGGUGCUUGCUAACUGAGGCUUCGUGGUCAGCAUAUAUCACUAGUGGAUGAGUCUGGCGUUUGUCAAGCCCCAGAUGAACAACCUGUUACCACCAGAGUAAUGGAGAGGUCUGAACAUCCACAAAUGACAACCGGGAGCAAUUGAAGUAUGAUGGGGAAGGAGGAUGAGCUGCAGCUUCAGGUGAAAAGAAGAAUUGGAUCAACAGCUGAUACUGAGAGAGGCAGGAGGUUUUCACUCCCUUCAAGACUCCAUAUUCUGUCUCCACAGAGUGCUGUUGGCAGGCUGUGUAACAAGCAAU